rnacentral:rRNA from 2 species
AGGGAAACCGAGUCUUAACUGGGCGUUAAGUUGCAGGGUAUAGACCCGAAACCCGGUGAUCUAGCCAUGGGCAGGUUGAAGGUUGGGUAACACUAACUGGAGGACCGAACCGACUAAUGUUGAAAAAUUAGCGGAUGACUUGUGGCUGGGGGUGAAAGGCCAAUCAAACCGGGAGAUAGCUGGUUCUCCCCGAAAGCUAUUUAGGUAGCGCCUCGUGAAUUCAUCUUCGGGGGUAGAGCACUGUUUCGGCUAGGGGGUCAUCCCGACUUACCAACCCGAUGCAAACUGCGAAUACCGAAGAAUGUUAUCACGGGAGACACACGGCGGGUGCUAACGUCCGUCGUGAAGAGGGAAACAACCCAGACCGCCAGCUAAGGUCCCAAAGUCAUGGUUAAGUGGGAAACGAUGUGGGAAGGCACAGACAGCCAGGAUGUUGGCUUAGAAGCAGCCAUCAUUUAAAGAAAGCGUAAUAGCUCACUGGUCGAGUCGGCCUGCGCGGAAGAUGUAACGGGGCUAAACCAUGCACCGAAGCUGCGGCAGCGACACUAUGUGUUGUUGGGUAGGGGAGCGUUCUGUAAGCCGUUGAAGGUGUACUGUGAGGUAUGCUGGAGGUAUCAGAAGUGCGAAUGCUGACAUAAGUAACGAUAAUGCGGGUGAAAAACCCGCACGCCGGAAGACCAAGGGUUCCUGUCCAACGUUAAUCGGGGCAGGGUGAGUCGACCCCUAAGGCGAGGCCGAAAGGCGUAGUCGAUGGGAAACAGGUUAAUAUUCCUGUACUUGGUGUUACUGCGAAGGGGGGACGGAGAAGGCUAUGUUAGCCGGGCGACGGUUGUCCCGGUUUAAGCAUGUAGGCGGAGGUUCCAGGUAAAUCCGGUACCUUAUUAACGCUGAGGUGUGAUGACGAGGCACUACGGUGCUGAAGUAACAAAUGCCCUGCUUCCAGGAAAAGCCUCUAAGCAUCAGGUAACACGAAAUCGUACCCCAAACCGACACAGGUGGUCAGGUAGAGAAUACCAAGGCGCUUGAGAGAACUCGGGUGAAGGAACUAGGCAAAAUGGUGCCGUAACUUCGGGAGAAGGCACGCUGAUAUGUAGGUGAAGUGGUUUACCCAUGGAGCUGAAAUCAGUCGAAGAUACCAGCUGGCUGCAACUGUUUAUUAAAAACACAGCACUGUGCAAACACGAAAGUGGACGUAUACGGUGUGACGCCUGCCCGGUGCCGGAAGGUUAAUUGAUGGGGUUAUCCGUAAGGAGAAGCUCUUGAUCGAAGCCCCGGUAAACGGCGGCCGUAACUAUAACGGUCCUAAGGUAGCGAAAUUCCUUGUCGGGUAAGUUCCGACCUGCACGAAUGGCGUAAUGAUGGCCAGGCUGUCUCCACCCGAGACUCAGUGAAAUUGAACUCGCUGUGAAGAUGCAGUGUACCCGCGGCAAGACGGAAAGACCCCGUGAACCUUUACUAUAGCUUGACACUGAACACUGGUCCUUGAUGUGUAGGAUAGGUGGGAGGCUUUGAAGUGUGGACGCCAGUCUGCAUGGAGCCAUCCUUGAAAUACCACCCUUUAAUGGCUGGUGUUCUAACGUAGACCCGUGAUCCGGGUUGCGGACAGUGUCUGGUGGGUAGUUUGACUGGGGCGGUCUCCUCCUAAAGAGUAACGGAGGAGCACGAAGGUUAGCUAAUCCUGGUCGGACAUCAGGAGGUUAGUGCAAAGGCAUAAGCUAGCUUGACUGCGAGAGUGACGGCUCGAGCAGGUGCGAAAGCAGGUCUUAGUGAUCCGGUGGUUCUGAAUGGAAGGGCCAUCGCUCAACGGAUAAAAGGUACUCCGGGGAUAACAGGCUGAUACCGCCCAAGAGUUCAUAUCGACGGCGGUGUUUGGCACCUCGAUGUCGGCUCAUCACAUCCUGGGGCUGAAGUAGGUCCCAAGGGUAUGGCUGUUCGCCAUUUAAAGUGGUACGCGAGCUGGGUUUAGAACGUCGUGAGACAGUUCGGUCCCUAUCUGCCGUGGGCGCUGGAGAAUUGAGGGGGGCUGCUCCUAGUACGAGAGGACCGGAGUGGACGCAUCACUGGUGUUCGGGUUGUCAUGCCAAUGGCAUUGCCCGGUAGCUAAAUGCGGAAGAGAUAAGUGCUGAAAGCAUCUAAGCACGAAACUUGCCCCGAGAUGAGUUCUCCCUGACUCCUUGAGAGUCCUGAAGGAACGUUGAAGACGACGACGUUGAUAGGUCGGGUGUGUAAGUGUAGCGAUACAUUGAGCUAACCGAUACUAAUGAACCGUGAGGCUUAACCUU